UGGCGACCGGCGCACGGGUGAGUAACGCGUAUCCAACCUGCCCUUUACUAUGGGACAGCCCGUCGAAAGGCGGAUUAAUACCGUAUGUUGUCAUGUUGAUGCAUAUUUUCAUGACCAAAGGCUUCGGCCGGUAAAGGAUGGGGAUGCGUCUGAUUAGCUUGCCGGCGGGGUAACGGCCCACCGGGGCGACGAUCAGUAGGGGUUCUGAGAAGAAGGUCCCCCACAUUGGAACUGAGACACGGUCCAAACUCCUACGGGAGGCAGCAG
rnacentral:rRNA from 1 species